rnacentral:tRNA from 1 species
GCCCUAGUAGCUCAGUAUUAGAGCGCCGGCCUUGUAAGCCGGAGGUUGGAGGCUAAAUUCCUCCCUAGCGCU